AAUGCAUGAAUGCAGGCUUCUGUGCCACCAAGUCAUCUGAAAGCCCCAAUACUUCUCUGAACCAGUCAUAUCUGUGGGAUCAAGCCACCAUAAAUCCAACUUGGGGGGGUUCCGAAAUAAACGGAACCGGAGAUUACAUCACCAUCUUCACAGGAACAAUCACUGAACGGAUGACAAACAGAUCCUCUGAACAAGUACUCUCAAAUCAACCCGGGAAUCCGAAAUAAACGGAACCUGCUGAUAAACUACGGACAGAACUCUG
rnacentral:lncRNA from 1 species